rnacentral:rRNA from 1 species
AACGCGAAGAACCUUACCAGGUCUUGACAUGCACUGGACCGGCGCUGAAAGGCGCUUUUCCCGCAAGGGACCGGUGCACAGGUGCUGCAUGGCUGUCGUCAGCUCGUGUCGUGAGAUGUUGCGUUAAGUCGCGCAACGAGCGCAACCCCUGUCCUUAGUUGCCAUCAUUCAGUUGGGCACUCUAGGGAGACAAACCCUCUUUGAGGGUGGGAAGGUGGGGAUGACGUCAAGUCAGGAUGGCCCUUACGACCUGGGCUGCACACGUGCUACAAUGCCCAGUACAGAGGGAAGCAAGACCGCGAGGUGGAGCAAAUCCUCAAAACUGGGCCCAGUUCAGAUUGUAGUCUGCAACUCGACUACAUGAAGUUGGAAUCGCUAGUAAUGGCGCAUCAGCUACGGCGCCGUGAAUACGUUCCCGGGCCUUGUA